rnacentral:rRNA from 1 species
UCUACUUGGAGGUUGUGCCCUUGAGGCGUGGCUUCCGGAGCUAACGCGUUAAGUAGACCGCCUGGGGAGUACGGCCGCAAGGUUAAAACUCAAAUGAAUUGACGGGGGCCCGCACAAGCGGUGGAGCAUGUGGUUUAAUUCGAUGCAACGCGAAGAACCUUACCUGGUCUUGACAUCCACAGAAGAAUCCAGAGAUGGAUUUGUGCCUUCGGGAACUGUGAGACAGGUGCUGCAUGGCUGUCGUCAGCUCGUGUUGUGAAAUGUUGGGUUAAGUCCCGCAACGAGCGCAACCCUUAUCCUUUGUUGCCAGCGGUCCGGCCGGGAACUCAAAGGAGACUGCCAGUGAUAAACUGGAGGAAGGUGGGGAUGACGUCAAGUCAUCAUGGCCCUUACGACCAGGGCUACACACGUGCUACAAUGGCGCAUACAAAGAGAAGCGACCUCGCGAGAGCAAGCGGACCUCAUAAAGUGCGUCGUAGUCCGGAUUGGAGUCUGCAACUCGACUCCAUGAAGUCGGAAUCGCUAGUAAUCGUGGAUCAGAAUGCCACGGUGAAUACGUUCCCGGGCCUUGUACACACCGCCCGUCACACCAUGGGAGUGGGUUGCAAAAGAAGUAGGUAGCUUAACCUUCGGGAGGGCGCUUACCACUUUGUGAUUCAUGACUGGGGUGAAGUCGUAACAAGGUAACCGUAGGGGAACCUGC